UUCGGCAGUGGCGGGUCACAGUGCAGACAUGGCCAAGUCCAAGAACCACACCACACACAACCAGUCCCGAAAGUGGCACAGAAAUGGCAUCAAGAAACCCCGAUCACAAAGAUAUGAAUCUCUUAAGGGGGUAGAUCCCAAGUUCCUGAGGAACAUGCGCUUUGCCAAGAAACACAACAAGAAGGGCCUGAAGAAGAUGCAGGCCAACAAUGCCAAGGCUGUGAGUGCACGUGCUGAAGCUAUCAAGGCCCUUGUAAAGCCCAAGGAGGUUAAGACCAAGAUUCCAAAGGGUGCCAGCCAUAAACUCAGUUGACUUGCCUACAUAGCCCACCCCAGGCUUGGGAAGCAUGCUCGUGCACGCAUUGCCAAGGGUCUCAGGCUCUGCCGGCCAAAGGCCAAGGCCAAGGAUCAAACGAAGGCCCAAUCUGCUGCUUCAUCUGCAGCUCCAGCUUCAGUUCCAGCUCAGGCUCCCAAAGGUGUCCAGGCCCCCACGAAGGCUCCAGAGUAGAGGCAUCUGUCUGCCAUGAGGACAAAAGGACUGGUGUGACCUCUAGGCUGCUGUCUGUAUGGGGCUUGGGACCUCCUGUGCUAUUUGUACAAAUAAACCUGAGGCAG